CCUACGGGUGGCAGCAGUCGAGAAUCAUUCACAAUGGGGGAAACCCUGAUGGUACGACGCCGCGUGGGGGAAUGAAGGUCUUCGGAUUGUAAACCCCUGUCAUGUGGGAGCAAAUUAAAAAGAUAGUACCACAAGAGGAAGCGACGGCGAACUCUGUGCCAGCAGCCGCGGUAAUACAGAGGUCUCAAGCGUUGUUCGGAAUCACUGGGCGUAAAGCGUGCGUAGGCUGUUUCGUAAGUCGUGUGUGAAAGGCGCGGGCUCAACCCGCGGACGGCACAUGAUAUUGCGAGACUAGAGUGAUGGAGGGGGAACCGGAAUUCUCGGUGUAGCGGUGAAAUGCGUAGAUAUCAGGAGGAACACUCGUGGCGAAGGCGGGUUCCUGGACAUUAACUGACGCUGAGGCACGAAGGCGAGGGGAGCGAAAGGGAUUAGAUACCCCAGUAGUC
rnacentral:rRNA from 1 species